UGACAAAGCAACACUAUUAACCGAACUUUGCUCAGAAUCGUUUUUUCGUUAGCAAUGGUUAAUCGUUGCUUACAGAUUGAAUACAUUGAAUUACCGGUAAUAGUCGUGACUGUACAUGUCCCCAUUAUCUCACAAUGUCACCUACAACAGUCAACAACUACCCAUAGUGCGACGUAUACUUAUCCGUUUUUAUUUAUUUUUUUUUUUUUUUUUUUUUUUUUACAUGGUCGAAACGCGCAAUACAAUUUCUGUUAUUGUAUACUCGUAAUGCUAUUAUGACGUUCCGAUGACUAUUUAUGGUCUCGAAGAGAAAACAAACAAUACGUAUUAUACGCGACAGUUUUAAACUCAGUGUAUACCGUCCGCAUAUACGGUAAGUACUUUUAAAACGUGCAGUUAACGACGUCCUCCUUUCCUCCCUCCCCUGUUUGACUGUGAACAAUUUAAAAUACCAUAAUUAUUUAUUUUUUAACAAUCAGGACGAAAAAAAAAAAAAAAAUUAAUAAACAUCUAUUUACAAAACUUGUACAAUUUUCGGGUAAAACUAUUUAAAUACAAAUUUAUUCAGUAUUUUCAGUAUUCAAACUCGUAUUUUAAACACACUUAUCACUUUUACAAUUGUUUUCCUUAAUUGAAAUUCAAGCGCAUUGCAUUACUUCAUUUAAG